rnacentral:rRNA from 1 species
UAUUCACAUUUAAAUAAAUCUUUAUUGGAGAGUUUGAUCCUGGCUCAGGACGAACGCUGGCGGCGUGCUUAACACAUGCAAGUUGAACGCGAAAGUUUUCUUCGGAAAAUUAGUAGAGUAGCGGACGGGUGAGUAACGCGUGGGUAAUCUACCUUUAAGUUAGGAAUAACUUCUCGAAAGAGAAGCUAAUACCUAAUAAUCUCUUACGAGCAAAGAUGGCUUCUUCUUAGCUAUCGCUUAAAGAUGAGCCUGCGUCCCAUUAGCUUGUUGGUGAGGUAAAAGCUCACCAAGGCAACAAUGGGUAGCCGACCUGAGAGGGUGAUCGGCCACACUGGGACUGAGACACGGCCCAGACUCCUACGGGAGGCUGCAGUGGGGAAUCUUCCGCAAUGGACGAAAGUCUGACGGAGCAACGCCGCGUGAACGAUGAAGGCCUUCGGGUCGUAAAGUUCUGUCCUUUGGGAAGAAUACUUUAGUUACUAAUACUAGCUAGAGUUGACGGUACCUUUGGAGGAAGCUCUGGCUAACUACGUGCCAGCAGCCGCGGUAAUACGUAGAGAGCAAGCGUUGUCCGGAAUCAUUGGGCGUAAAGGGUACGCAGGCGGUCUAUUAAGUCAGAGGUGAAAUCCAACAGCUCAACUGUUGAACUGCCUUUGAUACUGGUAGACUUGAGGAUAAGAGAAGAAAACGGAAUUCCUAGUGUAGCGGUGAAAUGCGUAGAUAUUAGGAAGAAUACCGAUGGCGAAAGCAGUUUUCUAACUUAUUCCUGACGCUCAGGUACGAAAGCUAGGGUAGCAAACGGGAUUAGAUACCCCGGUAGUCCUAGCCGUAAACGAUGGAUACUAGGUGUUGGGGGUUCGACCCCCUCGGUGCCGCAGUUAACGCAUUAAGUAUCCCGCCUGGGGAUUACGACCGCAAGGUUGAAACUCAAAGGAAUUGACGGGGACCCGCACAAGCGGUGGAGCAUGUGGUUUAAUUCGAUGCAACGCGAAGAACCUUACCAGAACUUGACAUCCCUGUGACUAUCUCUUAAUCGAGAGUCUUCCCUUUUGGGAACACAGGUGACAGGUGGUGCAUGGCUGUCGUCAGCUCGUGUCGUGAGAUGUUGGGUUAAGUCCCGUAACGAGCGCAACCCCUAUCCUUAGUUGCCAGCACGUAAUGGUGGGGACUCUAAGGAGACUGCCGCGGAAAAACGCGGAGGAAGGUGGGGAUGACGUCAAGUCAUCAUGCCCCUUAUGUUCUGGGCUACACACGUGCUACAAUGGCUUAUACAGAGGGUUGCUACAUCGUGAGAUGAUGCUAAUCUCUAAAGUAAGUCUCAGUUCGGAUUGCAGGCUGCAACUCGCCUGCAUGAAGCUGGAAUCGCUAGUAAUCGUGGAUCAGAAUGCCACGGUGAAUACGUUCCCGGGUCUUGUACACACCGCCCGUCACACCACCCGAGUCGGGGGCACCAGAAGUCGUCGGCCUAACUUUUAGAAGGAGACGCCGAAGGUGCGUUCGGUAAGGGGGGUGAAGUCGUAACAAGGUAGCCGUACCGGAAGGUGCGGCUGGAUCACCUCCUUUCU